GGAAGGAUCAUUAUCGUACAAAAUGUGAGGGGCAUGUGAGGGCUGUCGCUGACUCAAAGUCGUGCACGCCCGAGUGUGUCCUCUCACAUAAUAAUCCAUCUCACCCUUUGUGCAUCGCCGCGUGAGCACCCUUUGGGAUCAUCUCGGAGGGGGCUCGCGUUUUCACACAAACCCCCCUUUUAAAAGUGUAGAAUGACCUCAUUUAUGCGCUAACACGCAAUCAAUACAACUUUCAACAACGGAUCUCUUGGCUCUCGCAUCGAUGAAGAACGCAGCGAAAUGCGAUACGUAAUGUGAAUUGCAGAAUUCAGUGAAUCAUCGAAUCUUUGAACGCACCUUGCGCCCCUUGGUAUUCCGAGGGGCACACCCGUUUGAGUGUCGUGAAAACCUCAACCUCCUUGGUUUCUUCUGGAGACCAAAGGCAGGCUUGGACUUUGGAGGCCCUUGCUGGAACCUCUCUCUUUUGAAGGCCAGCUCCUCUUAAACGAAUUAGCAGGGUCCUCUUUGCCGAUCCUCGACGUGUGAUAAGAUGUUUCCAUGUCUUGGUUUCUGGCUCUGUCACUUUUGGGACCCGCUUCUAACCGUCUUGACCUUGCAUCGAGACAAUGUUCGAGCAUGUCUCCCUUCUCGGGAAGCUCCCUCGACCCCACGAACCCUUGACCUCAAAUCGGGUGAGACUACCCGCUGAACUUAAGCAUAUCAAUAAGCGGAGGAAAAGAAACUAACAAGGAUUCCCCUAGUAACUGCGAGUGAAGCGGGAAAAGCUCAAAUUUAAAAUCUGGCGGUCUUUGGCC
rnacentral:rRNA from 1 species